AGCCUGUGUGUGUGUGGCUCUCAGCAAAUGGAUUUACCCUGUCCACGUCAUGCAUUUCUCUAGAGAAUGAUGGGAGUUGUGAUCCAUACCUCCGUGUGCAUAAUGGUUGUACCUGCUCCAGGAAGGCGCUGGAUCCUCCCAACUCCAUGGGAAGAGAUUAGGACACAAACAACAGACAGAAGGUGACCACAGGAGGACACAGUGAGAAGCUGGCCAUCUGCAAGCCAAGGAGAGAGACCUCAGGAGAAACCAAACCUGCCAGCACCUUAAUCUUAGACUUCUAGCCCUCAGAACGGUGAGGAAAUAAAUC
rnacentral:lncRNA from 1 species